rnacentral:rRNA from 1 species
GACGAACGCUGGCGGCGUGCUUAACACAUGCAAGUCGAGCGAGAACCGGACCUUCGGGUCCGGGGACAGCGGCGAACGGGUGAGUAACACGUGGGCAACCUGCCCUGGAGACUGGGAUAACGUCCCGAAAGGGACGCUAAUACCGGAUGACGCGUGGUCCGCCAAGUGGACUACGCCAAAUGGUAGCUUCGGCUUCUGCUCUGGGGAUGGGCCCGCGCCGGAUUAGCUUGUUGGUGAGGUAACGGCUCACCAAGGCAACGAUCCGUAGCUGGUCUGAGAGGACGAUCAGCCACACUGGGACUGAGACACGGCCCAGACUCCUACGGGUGGCUG